rnacentral:lncRNA from 1 species
GGAAGAGGCUAAAGCAAACCACUAAGUUGUUGGUGCUCUGCUUUGACUUGUUGAUAGGUAAAACACCUGAAGAUAAAGUUCAUGAUAUCCCUCUUCAUACCUAGCCACCAAAAAUAGAAUUUUAGAUCAUGAUACAUCUUGGUGCUACCAGGAUGAAUAGAUUAUCUACAGGAAUGAAUCUCCCUCAAGAUAUCCUAUCUCAACUCUGAGUCCUCUAGUACCCAUAACCGGUUUGUGAAUCGGACAAGAUCAUCAUUAGAAAUUAAUUAGUAAUU